CCUACGGGAGGCAGCAGUGAGGAAUAUUGCACAAUGGGGGAAACCCUGAUGCAGCAACGCCGCGUGGAGGAUUGACGGUCUUUGGAUUGUAAACUCCUUUUCUGUGGGACGAGCGAGGACGGUACCACAGGAAUCAGUCACGGCUAACUACGUGCCAGCAGCCGCGGUAAUACGUAGGUGGCGAGCGUUAUCCGGAAUUACUGGGCGUAAAGCGCAAGCAGGCGGCUCGUUAAGUUUGACGUAAAAUCUCCUGGCUUAACUGGGAGGGGUCGUUGGAGACUGGCGAGCUUGAGGCGAUGAGAGGGGCAUGGAAUUCCCGGUGUAGUGGUGGAAUGCGUAGAGAUCGGGAGGAACACCAGAGGCGAAAGCGGUGCCCUGGCAUUGGCCUGACGCUCAUGUGCGAAAGCGUGGGGAGCGAACGGGAUUAGAUACCCCGGUAGUCCACGCCGUAAACGAUGAGUACUGGGUGUAGGUGGGGUUAGAGCCAUCUGUGCCGAAGCAAACGCGUUAAGUACUCCGCCUGGGGAGUACGGCCGCAAGGCUAAAACUCAAAUGAAUUGACGG
rnacentral:rRNA from 1 species